rnacentral:rRNA from 1 species
GACGAACGCUGGCGGCGUGCUUAACACAUGCAAGUCGAACGCUGAAGCUCAGCUUUUGUUGUGUGGCUGAGUGGCGAACGGGUGAGUAACACGUGAGUAACCUGCCUCCCUCUUUGGGAUAACGCCCGGAAACGGGUGCUAAUACUGGAUAUUCACUGGUCUUCGCAUGGGGGCUGGUGGAAAGGGUUUUUCUGGUGGGGGAUGGGCUCGCGGCCUAUCAGCUUGUUGGUGGGGUGAUGGCCUACCCAGGCUUUGACGGGUAGACGGGCUGAGAGGGUGAACGGUAACAUUGAGACUGGGAUGCGGCCCAGACGCGGACGGGGGGGGGCAGUGGGGAAUAUGGGACAAUGGGCGAAAGCCUGAUGCAGCGACGGCGCGGGAGGGAUGGGGGUCGUCGGGUUGUGAAGCUCUUUAGCAAAUGGUCAAGCCGAAACAAUGGUUGUGGUGAGGGUAGUGAGUAAAGAAGCGCCGGCUAACUACGUG